GGCCAAGGAGGGACCAGCUGCCCUACACACACACACACACACACACACACACACACACACACACACCACCUUGGCCCAGUCUUUCCCUAAGGGCCUAACCCAGGAACCGAGCGAGAAGGGGGCUGCCGGCUACAUGGAAUGUAUCUGCUGGGGCGUCAGCUGCACUUAACGGGGGCUGGAAGGAAACAACUGGCUGCCGGAGCACAGGAGACAAAAACCCCCAGUAGUGUGGGAGGUGGGGAUUCCUCCCGGAGGAGGCUUCACCCUGGGUCACAUACACCUGGGUGAGGUGGCGUUUCUGGUGUGGGGGGCUGCCCAACCGAAGGUGGGCCUCGUGCCGACCCAGGCCGACUCAACGGAAAACGUUAGCUGAGGCCUCCUCUCCCUGUCCCGUGUCAGUACGUGGUCCUUCGGCCGCAUGGGUAUGUGGUCUAAAAAAGCCAGCGCUUGGAGCCCAGUUUGGGGGGACCCAAGUUUCCCGGAGGUCAAAUCUGCAUGAACAGAAGCCAAAGCACAAAGCGGGCCAACUGAAGAAUCGGCUGGUACUGAUGAGGGAGCAUGGGGUGGGCUGAGGACAGAAUGCAAGCUAGCAUCACCCCCCCAGGUGGGGUAUGUGUGACAUUCCUCAGGUACUCCUGGCUGCCCAAGGACAAAGGAAGGGAGAGAAAACAAAUGGUUAAGUGAUAGAGGUCACAGUCAUACAGGGCAUGAGUCCCCAUCAGUUUGCAAAUAUCUUAGUAAAUUACAAGAAAAAGGCAAUCUUGUCAAUAGUCUAAUGUCCAGAAACCUAUAGACUCAGUUUCCUGGAGCCCCAACAUCACCCCUCCAUAAUGAUGUGGGGAACAAGGGCAGGAAGGCAAUGGCAGGUAAAAUUAAAUUUCCUUAUGACCUGCAGCCCAUUGACAAAUACUUGAGGCAAAUACAGAGUAUAACAUUUCUCCAGGAAACCCUGCUGCCCUAAUGCCGAUGCCUUACUAGAGGGAAAAACAACCUUAGCUUGACAACAGCAAGGCCUCAGGUAUCUUAGGAAUCCUCUUUAGCACAUCAAAGUCCCUCUGGAGGCCUCCCUUUUGUCUUGACCUCCCCAACUCCAGAGUAUAUAACCCGCCACUCUUCACAACCCCAGUGCAGCUCUUCCUGCCCACGGGUCUUGGUCCCGGGCUUUAAUACAAUCACCUUUUUGCAUCAAAGACGUCUUCAAGAAUUGUUUCUUGUACGUCGCCUCCAGAACCCCCACCAUCAUCCCCAAACUUCGUCAUAUGGUGCCCAGCUUGGGGCUACAAGUCCUUCCAUCUGGACUCUGAGCUGGUGCAAACCCGGAGGAGCAUGGGAGCAUCUCUUCGGUCCCCAAGGGUUCUCCUUUGAGAUGCCUUUUAACCACUGGAAACAAUUUGGAUUGCAAAAUGUAGACAAGGACUGAUCUCCUGUAACACUGCAUGGCCUUAAACAGGGCAAAGGAACACAGGAGAUGCUGGAUGGUGACUAACUUAUCGUGGUAAUCACCUCAUGACAUAUGUAAGUCACAUUAUUAUGCUGAACCCCUUAAACUUAUACAGGGCUACGUAUCAAUUGUAUCUUCAUAAAAAGGGGGAAAUUUUUCUUCAAGAAUUCAUGCGUUGAGUUUGGAGACAGAGGAGAACAAGAUGUCUUUUUUCUGAUUUGUUUCCUGUGGCUCCUUUUCCCUUCAGAACUCCACUGAGAGAGCACUAGGCAAGCCCGGGGGGCGGAAAUCAACUCAGCCAAAUUCACCAAACUGAAGGGUUUCUUUUCCUGAGCUUUGCUUUGCCGGCCUGACAAAGCAGAGAGGCCCGGGCCUCCCAAGCCCUGGCCAGACCUGCCUGGGAGCCCCGUGCCCGGUCUCCGGGGCCCGCUUUGUCCGGCUGCCUGUCUGGCCUCCCCAGGUCCACCUGUGCUCGACCUUUCCGUCUCAAACCUACUCACACUCUCUGCAGCAAGGCUAAUAAGCCCACCCUGAGUUUUCCUUUUCUGCUUUAUUUUCUCCUUAUUCUAUUUUUUUUCUCCAAAUUAUCCUUCGAUACAAUUUAGGGUUUUCUAUGGUCACAAACAAUCCUCCCUUGAUCCAUUGACCCACAAAUCAGCCAUCACUGACUAAGCCAAUGAAAAAGUAUUUGGAAUUAAUACAUGGAAGAAUCCAGCCUGAGGUAAUAGCCAGCCCCCAUCAGUGACAAGUUCCAGACAAGGUCUUCAGCAUAGGUCACAAAAAGGAAGAUAAAAAUUUGAGGUGUUAGAAAUUUCUCAGAACUUUGACUCUUGCAUUUGGUAGUUACAGAAUUUUGAAUGUGACCGAUAUCCCUAAGGCAUAAUUCUCCCCUACCAUUUCUACCUUUGUUAGGUGGGUGGAACUUUGCUUGAAAUUGUUGGGUUUUUUAAAUUUUUUUUAACGUUUAUUUAUUUUUGAGACAGAGAGAGACAGAGCAUGAAUGGGGGAGGGUCAGAGAGAGAGGGAGACACAGAAUCUGAAACAGGCUCCAGGCUC